UUCUCUCUUUUUGGGUUUAGGAUUUCAUGCGCGCAGCUCUUGGCGGUGGUCUCUUCAUCAUCCUCUGCUUAAUAUGUCUAAUCCGUGGUGGUGACGGAGCUGGGAUAGCCGGAUCGGUGAUCGGGCUGCUGACUGGUAUCCUGUUCGCUUAUGACGCUUUCCUCACGUUCCCUAAACUGAGGAGGACACACGCACCGGCCGCCACUGAGUCCCCCGAUAAUAUUUAACUCCGUGCCCGACCAGCAGGAGGCGCCACCCCAACGUCUCAACACAAGCUACAUGCCAACAACAUGCCUUUCGCCCCACCCUGUGCAGCUGCCCCUCCCCCCCCCCCCUGGAGGAAGAGGACGCGGGCGGCAUAGGGAGCGGCGUUGCGCCACAGUGGACGGGUGUCUGUGUGUGUGUACACGUAAUACAGUACAUGUGUUUCCUGAGGGCUCAUUCACACCACACGGCGCGCAGUAAUGUGCGCGUAACGAGCGGGCGCUGGUGUGACCGCCUUCCGAUGUUAAACCCAUUGGAGUGCCGCUCUCCUUUCUUUUUUUUUUUUUUCUUUUCUUUUCCAAACUUGUAUGUAUCCCUUAUGUUGCGGUGCAGAACAGCGCUGCACAAAAAUACAACGCGUCCUACGCAUUUUUUUAAUAUAUUUUUUUUGCAGCUCACACCAGUUCUUGGGUUGGGACAGUGUUAUGCAGCUCUCCUGGUGUGAACGAGCCCUGGGGGGUGUAUUUAUAUUAAAAAACAAACAGGCUAUUUUCUGUCCAGGACGAAUGUUGUUCCUUCUGACUCAAGUUCAUGAUCAUUGAAAUUUAGUAGCGUUAUGGCCACUAGAUGGCGCUAAUGAUCAUUGACAUUUAGUAGCGUAAUGGCCUCUAGAUGGCGCUAUUUAUCAUAGAAAUGUAGUAGCAUAAUGGCCUCUAGAUGGCGCUAUUUAUCAUAGAAAUGUAGUAGCAUAAUGGCCACUAGAUGGAGCUGAUGAUCAUAGAAAUUUAGUAGCGUUAUGAGCUCUAGAUGGCGCUAAUGAUCAUAGAACUUAGCGCCAUCUAGAGGCCAUUGCACUACCUAAUUUCUGUGAUCAUUAGCGCCAUCUAGAGGCUACAACACUACUAAAUUUCUAUGAUCAUCAGCUCCAUUAUUAUUAUUACUACUUUGCCACUUAAUUUCUAUGAUAAUUAGCGCCAUCUAGAGGCCAUUACGCCAAUUUCCUUUAAUCAUUGGUUCCAUCUAGUGGCCAUUAUGUUACUAAAUGUCUAUGAUCGUUAGCGCCAUCUAGUGCCCAUUACGCUACUUAAUUUCAAUGAUAAUUAGGUAGCGUAAUGUCCUCUAAAUGGCGCUAAUGAUCAUUGAAAUUAAGUAGCGUAAUGGCCACUAGAUGGCGCUAAUUAUCAUAGAAAUUAAGUAGCAAAAUAAUAAUGAUUUUGGCCACUAGAUGGAAUUGAUGAUCAUCUCAAUCUAGUAGCGUUAUGGCCACUAGAUUGAACCGAUGAUUAUAGAAAUGAGCAUUAUGGGCACUAGAUGGCGCUAAUUAUCAUAGAAAUUAAGUAGCAAAAUAAUAAUAAUUUUGGCCACUAGAUGGCGCUAAUGAUCAUUGACAUUAAGUAGCGUAAUGGGCAAUAGAUGGAACUGAUGAUCAUCCUAAUUUAGUAGCGUAAUGGCCACUAGAUGGCACUAUUUUUUUAUAGAAAUUUAGUAGCGUAAUGGCUAUGAAAAAUAGCGCCGUCCAGUGGCCAUUACGCUACUAAAUUAGGAUGAUCAUCAGUUCCAUCUAUUGCCCAUUACGCUACUUAAUUUCUAUGAUGAUUAGUGCCAUCUAGUGGCUAUUAUGCUACUAAAUUUCUAUGAUCAUUAGCCCCAUCUAGUGGCCAUAAUGCUACUAAAUUUUAGAUGAUCAUCAUUUCCAUCUAGUGGCCAAAAUUAUUAUUAUUAUUAUUUUGCUACUUAAUUUCUAUGAUAAUUGGCGCCAUCUAGUGGCCAUUACGCUACCUAAUUAUCAUUGAAAUUAAGUAGCGUAAUGGCCACUAGAUGGCGCUAAGUAUCAUAGAAAUUAAUUGGCAAAGUAAUAAUAAUAAUAAUUUUGGCCACUAGAUGGAACUGAUAAUCGUCUAAAUUUAGUAGCAUUAUAGCCUCUAGAUGGCGCUAAUGAUCAUAGCAAUUAAGUAGCAUUUUGGUCACUAGAUGGAACCGUUGAUCAAAGGAAUUUAGUAGCGUAAUGGCCUCUAGAUGGCGCUAAUGAUCAUAGAAAUUUAGUAGCGUAAUGGCCUCUAGAUGGCGCUAAUGAUCAUAGAAAUUUAGUAGCGUUAUGGCCACUAGAUGGCGCUAAUGAUCAUAGCAAUUUUAGUAGCGCAAUGGCCACUAGAUGGGGCUAUUUAUCAUAAAAAUUUUGUAGUAAUAAUAAUUUUGGCCACUAGAUGGAAGUGAUAAUCAUCUAAAUUUAGUAGUGUUAUGGCCUAUAGAUGGUGCUAAUUAUCAUAGAAAUUUUGUAGCGCAAUUGCCUCUAAAUGGCACUAAUGAUCAUAACAAUUUUGUAGCGUAAUGGCCUCUAGAUGGCGCUUCUAUUAUCAUAGAAAUUAAGUGGCAAAGUAAUAAUAAUUUUGGCCACUAGAUGGAACUGAUAAUCAUCUAAAUUUAGUAGUAUUAUGACCUCUAGAUGGCGCUAAUGAUCAUAGCAAUUAAGUAGCAUUUUGGUCACUAGAUGGAACCGAUGAUCAAAGAAAUUUAGUAGCGUAAUGGCCUCUAGAUGGCGCUAAUGAUCAUAGAAAUUUAGUAUCGUAAUGGCCACUAGAUGGCGCUAAUGAUCAUAGCAAUUUUAGUAGCGCAAUGGCCACUAGAUGGGGCUAUUUAUCAUAAAAAUGUAGUAGUAAUAAUAAUUUUGGCCACUAGAUGGAAGUGAUAAUCAUCUAAAUUUAGUAGUGUUAUGGCCUAUAGAUGGCGCUAAUUAUAGAAAUUUUGUAGCGCAAUUGCCUCUAAAUGGCACUAAUGAU